UCAAACAGCGGCCUUCGGGCCUCGCUGCACCCUUGUCUUUUGCGUCACCGUAUUGUUUCCUCGGCGGGCUUGCCUGCCGGUUGGACAUCAUAAAACCUUUUUGUAGUUGCAAUCAGCGUCAGAAAAACAAUAAUUAUUA
rnacentral:misc_RNA from 1 species